AGCGAACGCUGGCGGCAGGCCUAACACAUGCAAGUCGAGCGCCCGUAGCAAUACGGGAGCGGCAGACGGGAUAGUAACACGUGGGAACGUACCCUUCAGUUCGGAACAACCCAGGGAAACUUGGGCUAAUACCGAAUACGUCCGUAAGGAGAAAGAUUUAUCGCUGAAGGAUCGGCCCGCGUCUGAUUAGCUAGUUGGUGAGGUAAUGGCUCACCAAGGCGACGAUCAGUAGCGGUCUGAGAGGAUGAUCAGCAUCACUGGGACUGAGACACGGCCCAGACUCCUACGGGAGGCAGCAGUGGGGAAUAUUGGACAACGGGCGCAAGCCUGAUCCAGCCAUGCCGCGUGGAUGAUGAAGGCCCUAGGGUUGUAAAGUCCUUUCGGCGGGGGAAGAUAAAUGACGGUACCCGCAGAAGAAGCCCCGGCUAACUUCGUGCCAGCCGCCGCGGU
rnacentral:rRNA from 1 species